rnacentral:rRNA from 1 species
UACAGAGGUCUCAAGCGUUGUUCGGAUUCAUUGGGCGUAAAGGGUGCGUAGGUGGCGCCGUAAGUCAGGUGUGAAAUUUCGGAGCUUAACUCCGAAACUGCAUUUGAUACUGCGGUGCUUGAGGACUGGAGAGGAGACUGGAAUUCUCGGUGUAGCAGUGAAAUGCGUAGAUAUCGAGAGGAACACCAGUGGCGAAGGCGAGUCCCUGGACGACUCCUGACACUGAGGCACGAAAGCUAGGGGAGCAAACAGG